rnacentral:rRNA from 1 species
CCUACGGGAGGCAGCAGUGGGGAAUAUUGGACAAUGGGGGCAACCCUGAUCCAGCCAUGCCGCGUGUGUGAAGAAGGCCCUCGGGUUGUAAAGCACUUUCAGUGAGGAAGAACGCCUGGUGGUUAAUACCCAUCAGGAAAGACAUCACUCACAGAAGAAGCACCGGCUAACUCCGUGCCAGCAGCCGCGGUAAUACGGAGGGUGCGAGCGUUAAUCGGAAUUACUGGGCGUAAAGCGCGCGUAGGUGGCUUGAUAAGCCGGUUGUGAAAGCCCCGGGCUCAACCUGGGAACGGCAUCCGGAACUGUCAAGCUAGAGUGCAGGAGAGGAGGGUAGAAUUCCCGGUGUAGCGGUGAAAUGCGUAGAGAUCGGGAGGAAUACCAGUGGCGAAGGCGGCCUUCUGGACUGACACUGACACUGAGGUGCGAAAGCGUGGGUAGCAAACAGGAUUAGAUACCCCUGUAGUC